UCGCUCUUGUGCACGUGUCAAGAAGACUGGCUUCCUAUUGGUUUAUAUUGCAGAAGCCCGCCCAACAACUUCCGGACGCGUUCUUUAAGUUAAGGCCGCCGGCUUGUUCCGGCCUCUUAUCGACGGGGAGUUCUCUAAGGUCUCCCCUGCGCAGGACAGCAGACAGCGUGGACUUCCACAACCUGUCCCCAAACCUCUGAAUAAAGUGUUUCGACAACA